rnacentral:rRNA from 1 species
GGGUCAGUAGGUUGGUCGUGCCACCGGUACGUACUGGUCUCACUGAUUCCUCCUUCCUGAAGAACCGUAAUGCCAUUAAUUUGGUGUUGCGGGGAAACAGGACUGUUACUUUGAAAAAAUUAGAGUGUUUAAAGCAAGCUAACGCUUGAAUACAUUAGCAUGGAAUAAUGAAAUAGGACGUUCGAUCCUAUUUUGUUGGCUUCUAGGAUUGACGUA